GGGCGUAUGGUCUAGAGGUAUGAUACCUGCUUUGGGUGUAACAUAUCCUUUGCAGGGGUCUUCGGUUCGAAUCCGGAUUCGCCCC